UACGUAGGGGGCAAGCGUUGUCCGGAUUUAUUGGGCGUAAAGAGCGUGUAGGCGGCCAGGUAGGUCUGCUGUGAAAACUCGAGGCUCAACCUCGAGACGUCGGCGGAAACCAUCUGGCUAGAGUCCGGAAGAGGAGAGUGGAAUUCCUGGUGUAGCGGUGGAAUGCGUAGAGAUCCGGAAGAACACCGGUGGCGAAGGCGGCCCGCUGGGCAACUGCUGACACUGAGGCGCGACAGCGUGGGGAGCAAACAGG
rnacentral:rRNA from 1 species